UACGUAGGGUGCGAGCGUUGUCCGGAUUUAUUGGGCGUAAAGAGCUUGUAGGCGGCUCGUCGCGUCGGGUGUGAAAACUUGCGGCUUAACCGCAAGCCUGCACCCGAUACGGGCGGGCUAGAGUUCGGCAGGGGAGACUGGAAUUCCUGGUGUAGCGGUGAAAUGCGCAGAUAUCAGGAGGAACACCGGUGGCGAAGGCGGGUCCCUGGGCCGAUACUGACGCUGAGGAGCGAAAGCGUGGGGAGCGAACAGG
rnacentral:rRNA from 1 species